rnacentral:rRNA from 1 species
UACGUAGGGGGCAAGCGUUGUCCGGAAUCAUUGGGCGUAAAGCGCGUGUAGGCGGCUCGAUAAGUCUGCUGUGAAAGUCCAGGGCUCAACCCUGGAAAGCCGGUGGAAACUGUCGGGCUAGAGUCCGGAAGAGGCGAGUGGAAUUCCUGGUGUAGCGGUGAAAUGCGCAGAUAUCAGGAGGAACGCCAAUGGCGAAGGCAGCUCGCUGGGACGGUACUGACGCUGAGACGCGAAAGCGUGGGGAGCAAACAGG